rnacentral:rRNA from 1 species
CCCUUAGAUGUUCUGGGCUGCACACGUGCUACACUGGCAGGUUCAGCGAGCUUCAUGCCCUGAUCUGAAAGGAAUGGGAAAUCUUUUCAAAACCUGCCGUGCUUGGGAUAGAUGUUUGCAAUUAUUCAUCUUCAACGAGGAUUGCCUUGUAAGCGCACGUCAUCAGUGUGCAUUGAAUACGACCCUGUAUUCUGUACACACCGCCCGUCGCUCCUACCGAUUGAAGUUUUCGGUGAGUUGACAGGAGGAUUUUUUUGAAACUGGUUCGCCAGUGGAUUUUAGAUCCAAAUGCCAACGAAUCGAUGGCUUUAGAGGAAGGAGAAGUCGUAACA